GAAAAGUCCAAGCACGCUGUAAUCUUGUUCCUUAAGUGACCUUAUAAACCAAAAAAAAAAAAAAAAAAAAA
rnacentral:ribozyme from 1 species